rnacentral:rRNA from 1 species
AUUGAACGCUGGCGGCAGGCCUAACACAUGCAAGUCGAACGGUAACAGGAAGAAGCUUGCUUCUUUGCUGACGAGUGGCGGACGGGUGAGUAAUGUCUGGGAAACUGCCUGAUGGAGGGGGAUAACUACUGGAAACGGUAGCUAAUACCGCAUAACGUCGCAAGACCAAAGAGGGGGACCUUCGGGCCUCUUGCCAUCGGAUGUGCCCAGAUGGGAUUAGCUAGUAGGUGGGGUAACGGCUCACCUAGGCGACGAUCCCUAGCUGGUCUGAGAGGAUGACCAGCCACACUGGAACUGAGACACGGUCCAGACUCCUACGGGAGGCAGCAGUGGGGAAUAUUGCACAAUGGGCGCAAGCAUGAUGCAGCCAUGCCGCGUGUAUGAAGAAGGCCUUCGGGUUGUAAAGUACUUUCAGCGGGGAGGAAGGGAGUAAAGUUAAUACCUUUGCUCAUUGACGUUACCCGCAGAAGAAGCACCGGCUAACUCCGUG